AAAAAUGCUUUUUCUCUCAAGGACAAGCUGUGAUGGGGAGCGAAAUUUAGUAGCGAAGUUCCUGAUGUCACACUGCCAAGAAAAGCUUCUAGUGAGAAAGUAACUGCCCGUACCACAAACCGACACAGGUAGUUGAGGAGAGAAUCCUAAGGUGUGCGAGAGAACUCUCGUUAAGGAACUCGGCAAAAUGACCCCGUAACUUCGGGAGAAGGGGUGCUGACCGCAAGGUCAGCCGCAGUGAAUAGGCCCAAGCGACUGUUUAUCAAAAACACAGGUCUCUGCAAAAUCGAAAGAUGACGUAUAGGGGCUGACGCCUGCCCGGUGCUGGAAGGUUAAGAGGAGAGGUUAGCGCAAGCGAAGCUUUGAAUUGAAGCCCCAGUAAACGGCGGCCGUAACGAUAACGGUCCUAAGGUAGCGAAAUUCCUUGUCGGGUAAGUUCCGACCCGCACGAAAGGCGUAACGAUUUGGGCACUGUCUCAACGAGAGACUCGGUGAAAUUAUAGUACCAGUGAAGAUGCUGGUUACCCGCGACAGGACGGAAAGACCCCAUGGAGCUUUACUGCAGUUUGAUAUUGCGUGUUUGUAUCACAUGUACAGGAUAGGUAGGAGCCGAAGAUACCGGGACGCCAGUCUCGGAGGAGGCAACGGUGGGAUACUACCCUUGUGAUAUGACCACUCUAACCCGCUGCUCUUAGCGAGCAGGGAGACAGUGUCAGACGGGGCAGUUUGACUGGGGCGGUCGCCUCCAAAAAUGUAACGGAGGCGCCCAAAGGUUCCCUCAGAAUGGUUGGAAAUCAUUCGUAGAGUGUAAAGGCAGAAGGGAGCUUGACUGCGAGACCUACAAGUCGAGCAGGGACGAAAGUCGGGCUUAGUGAUCCGGUGGUUCCGCAUGGAAGGGCCAUCGCUCAACGGAUAAAAGCUACCCUGGGGAUAACAGGCUUAUCUCCCCCAAGAGUUCACAUCGACGGGGAGGUUUGGCACCUCGAUGUCGGCUCAUCGCAUCCUGGGGCUGUAGUCGGUCCCAAGGGUUGGGCUGUUCGCCCAUUAAAGCGGUACGCGAGCUGGGUUCAGAACGUCGUGAGACAGUUCGGUCCCUAUCCGUCGCGGGCGUUGGAAAUUUGAGAGGAGCUGUCCUUAGUACGAGAGGACCGGGAUGGACACACCGCUGGUGUACCAGUUGUUCUGUCAAGAGCAUCGCUGGGUAGCUAUGUGUGGACGGGAUAAACGCUGAAAGCAUCUAAGCGUGAAGCCCCCCUCAAGAUGAGAUUUCCCAUCACUUUAAGUGAGUAAGACCCCUGAGAGAUGAUCAGGUAGAUAGGUUGGGAGUGGAAGUACAGCGAUGUAUGGAGCGGACCAAUACUAAUCGGUCGAGGACUUAACCUA
rnacentral:rRNA from 1 species